GACGAACGCUGGCGGCGUGCUUCAUACAUGCAAGUCGAACGAGAAGUCGCCUUCGGGUGAUGGAAAGUGGCGGACGGGUGAGUAAUAUGUAGGAAAUCUGCCCUUAAGAGGGGGACAACAGAGGGAAACUUCUGCUAAUACCCCAUAUGAGCGUAGCUGAAAUGCUAUUCUUGAAAACUCCGGUGCUUAAGGAUGAGCCUGCAUCUGAUUAGCUAGUUGGGGGUGUAAUGGACCACCAAGGCGACGAUCAGUAGCUGGUUUGAGAGGAUGAUCAGCCACAAUGGGACUGAGACACGGCCCAUACUCCUACGGGAGGCAGCAGUAGGGAAUUUUGCGCAAUGGGCGAAAGCCUGACGCAGCAACGCCGCGUGAUUGAAGAAGCCCUUCGGGGUGUAAAGAUCUGUCAGUGGGGACGAAACUUGACGGUACCCACAGAGGAAGCAUCGGCUAACUCCGUG
rnacentral:rRNA from 1 species